rnacentral:rRNA from 1 species
AGACACAGGGAUUACCUCAGUAACGGCGAGUGAAGCGGUAACAGCUCAAAUUUGAAAUCUGGGUCUUUCAGGCUCCGAGUUGUAAUUUGUAGAAGAUGCUUCGGGUGCGGCUCCGGUCUAAGUUCCUUGGAACAGGACGUCAUAGAGGGUGAGAAUCCCGUAUGUGAUCGGUUGCUUGCGCCCAUGUGAAGCUCUUUCGACGAGUCGAGUUGUUUGGGAAUGCAGCUCAAAAUGGGUGGUAAAUUUCAUCUAAAGCUAAAUAUUGGCCAGAGACCGAUAGCGCACAAGUAGAGUGAUCGAAAGAUGAAAAGCACUUUGGAAAGAGAGUUAAACAGUACGUGAAAUUGUUGAAAGGGAAGCGCUUGCAACCAGACUUGCGCGUUGCCGAUCAUCCGGGGUUCUCCCCGGUGCACUCGGCUUCGCUCAGGCCAGCAUCGGUUUCGGUGGUGGGAUAAAGGCCUUGGGAAUGUAGCUUCUUUCGGGGAGUGUUAUAGCCCUCGGUGCAAUGCCGCCUACCGGGACCGAGGACCGCGCUUCGGCUAGGAUGCUGGCGUAAUGGUUGUAAGCGACCCGUCUG